rnacentral:rRNA from 1 species
GACGAACGCUGGCGGCGUGCCUAAUACAUGCAAGUAGAACGCUGAAGGAGGAGCUUGCUUCUCUGGAUGAGUUGCGAACGGGUGAGUAACGCGUAGGUAACCAGCCUGGUAGCGGGGGAUAACUAUUGGAAACGAUAGCUAAUACCGCAUAAGAGUAGAUGUCGCAUGACAUUUGCUUAAAAGGUGCACUUGCAUCACUACCAGAUGGACCUGCGUUGUAUUAGCUAGUUGGUGAGGUAACGGCUCACCAAGGCCACGAUACAUAGCCGACCUGAGAGGGUGAACGGCCACACCGGGACUGAGACAAGGCUCCGAACCCCCAGGGGGGGAGCAGGAGGGAAACUUUGGCAAUGGGGCGAAAUCUGACUCAGCAACGCCGCGGGAGGGAAGAAGGGUGUCGGAUUGGAAAACUCUGUUUUAAGAGAAGAAAGAGUGUGAGAGUGGAAAGUUCACACUGUGACGGUAUCUUACCAGAAAGGGACGGCUAACUACGUG